rnacentral:rRNA from 1 species
CCUACGGGUGGCAGCAGUCGAGAAUCAUUCACAAUGGGGGAAACCCUGAUGGUGCGACGCCGCGUGGGGGAAUGCAGGUCUUCGGAUUGUAAACCGCUGUCAUGUAGGGGCAAAUCAAAAAGAUAGUACCACAAGAGGAAGAGACGGCUAACUCUGUGCCAGCAGCCGCGGUAAUACAGAGGUCUCAAGCGUUGUUCGGAAUCACUGGGCGUAAAGCGUGCGUAGGCUGUUUCGUAAGUCGUGUGUGAAAGGCGCGGGCUCAACCCGCGGACGGCACAUGAUACUGUGAGACUAGAGUAAUGGUGCGGGAAGCGGAAUGUACGGUGUAGCAGUGAAAUGCGUAGAGAUCG